GCCCAGGUGGCGAAAUGGCAGACGCGCUAGCUUGAGGGGCUAGUGGCCGCAAGGCUGUGGAGGUUCGAGUCCUCUCCUGGGCACCA
rnacentral:tRNA from 1 species